AACUCUAUGAUUAAUGCCAAACUUCUUUGGCAAUAUACGCUAUUCUGAAUGUUGAAAUGAAACAACCGAAAACAUAUAUUAUAUGAGAGUU